AGCAGCCGCGGUAAUUCCAGCUCCAAUAGCGUAUAUUAAAGUUGUUGCAGUUAAAAAGCUCGUAGUUGAAUUUUGGAUUCUUCCAAUUGGUCCAUCUUUUAGAUGAGUACUGGUUGUGUGGGGUCUAUCCGCCUGGUGAUACGUAAUGUCCUUUAUUGGAUGUUGCGGGUAGUCAGGACCUUUACCUUGAAAAAAUUAGAGUGUUUAAAGCAGGCUUAUGCCGGAAUACAUUAGCAUGGAAUAAUAGAAUAGGACGAAGUUGUUUUAUUUUGUUGGUUUCUAGGACAACCGUAAUGAUUAAUAGGGAUAGUUGGGGGCGAUUAGUAUUCAAUUGUCAGAGGUGAAAUUCUUGGAUUUAUUGAAGACUAACUACUGCGAAAGCAUUUGCCAAGGAUGUUUUCAUUAAUCAAGAACGAAAGUUAGGGGAUCGAAGACGAUCAGAUACCGUCGUAGUCUUAACCAUAAACUAUGCCGACUAGGGAUCGGGCGAUGUUGUUUCCAUGACUCGCUCGGCACCUUA
rnacentral:misc_RNA from 2 species